rnacentral:rRNA from 1 species
AUGGAGGGCGAACUGCUGGGGAAGAAGCAACUCAGCCCCCCCAACAGGAGGCGGUGGUGCAGAUGCAGCACGACCACGGUGACGCUGCUGCUCUUCCUGGUCACCAACACCACCUCCAUCCUCCUCUCCUCCGGCGCCGGCGCCUCGGUCGUCCGCCGCUACGAGCCCGCCACCGUCCGCCUCUGGGACGACUCCGCCGCCCUCCUCGCGGACCUCAAUGCCACGCGGUCCGCGCUCGAGUCCAGCCGCGUCGAGCUCGCGGGCCUCCACGCGCGCCUCGGCACCGCCACCGCGCUCCUCCAGACCCUCCUCGCCGAAGCGCGCGGCGGCGAUGAUCAGCAGAAGGAGGAGGCGCCCGCGUCCGGCAACGGGUGGUGGGCGCGCGAGCUGGCCGGCGAGCUCAAGCUGGCUGUCGGGAACGCCACCGCCGGCGAGGCGGCUCUUGGCCACGCGUGCGGCCGCUUCCAGGACGAGCUCGAGCGAUACAUGGACUACAAGCCCGGCGGCGAGUGCCCGUCCGACGCGGCGCUCGAGCACCUGCUCAUGCGUGGGGGCUGCGAGCCCCUGCCUCGGCGGCGUUGCCGGCCGCGGUCACCGGCGGGGUACGUGGAGCCAGCGCCGCUGCCGAAGAGCCUGUGGUCAAUGCCGGCGGACGCCAGCGUCGUCUGGGACGCAUACCACCCGUGCAAGAACUACUCGUGCAUGGCGAGCCGCGGCUUGGGCUUCGACCUCCGCGGCCGGCGCGAGAAGGGCCUGUGGACGCGCGACGACGCCGCGCUCGCCUACUCCGUCGACACGGCGCUCGCGGCCAAGCCCAAGGGCACGGUGCGCAUCGGACUCGACAUCGGCGGCGGGGGCGGCACGUUCGCGGCCCGGAUGCGCGAGCACGGGGUGACCGUAGUGACCGCGACCACCAACACUGGGGCGCCGUUCGGCAGCUUCAUCGCCUCGCGGGGGCUCAUACCACUGCACGUCGGCCCGGCGCGCCGCCUGCCCUUCUUCGACGGCACGCUCGACGUCGUACACGCGGGACGCGAGCUGACGGGCGGCUGGAUGGUGCCCGGCGACGGCGUGGCGCUGGAGUUCGCGCUGUUCGACGUCUACAGGGUUCUCAGGCCCGGGGGGCUGUUCUGGCUGGACCACUUCGUGUUCCCCGGCGCGCAGCUGAACGCAACGUACGCUCCAAUGCUUCACCGCGUGGGGUUCAAGAGGCUGCGGUGGAACGCCGGCCAGAAGCCGGACGGCGGAGUGGAGAAGAACGAGUGGUACCUCUCGGCGCUGCUCCAGAAGCCCAUGACAUGA